UACGUAGGGGGCAAGCGUUGUCCGGAUUUAUUGGGCGUAAAGAGCGUGUAGGCGGCCAGACAGGUCCGUUGUGAAAACUCGAGGCUCAACCUCGAGACGCCGAUGGAAACCGUCUGGCUAGAGUCCGGAAGAGGAGAGUGGAAUUCCUGGUGUAGCGGUGAAAUGCGCAGAUAUCUGGGGGAAGGCCGGCGGCGAAGGCGCCAUUCUGGGAAAUUCCUGACACUGAGGCACGAAAGCGUGGGGAGCAAACAGG
rnacentral:rRNA from 1 species